AGAGGGUGCAAGCGUUGUUCGGAUUUACUGGGCGUAAAGCGCGUGUAGGCGGUGGCGUAAGUCGGAUGUGAAAUCCCUCGGCUUAACCGAGGACGUGCACCCGAUACUGUGCCACUUGAGUACCGGAGGGGAUGGCGGAAUUCCCGGUGUAGAGGUGAAAUUCGUAGAUAUCGGGAGGAACACCUGUGGCGAAGGCGGCCAUCUGGACGGUAACUGACGCUGAGACGCGAAAGCGUGGGUAGCAAACAGGAUUAGAUACCCUGGUAGUCCACGCUGUAAACGAUGAGUGCUAGGCGUCGCGGGUAUUGACCCCUGCGGUGCCGAAGUUAACACGUUAAGCACUCCGCCUGGGGAGUACGGUCGCAAGAUUA
rnacentral:rRNA from 1 species